rnacentral:rRNA from 1 species
CAUGUAUUAUUUACUAAUUAAAGUCGUUUGGCGGUUGAAGAUUGUCGUGCGUCUGAUUAGCUAGUUGGUGAGGUAACGGCUCACCAAGGCGACGAUCAGUAGCUGGUCUGAGAGGAUGAUCAGCCACACUGGAACUGAGACACGGUCCAGACUCCUACGGGAGGCAGCAGUAGGGAAUAUUGGACAAUGGGCGGAAGCCUGAUCCAGCCAUCCCGCGUGUAGGAAUAAGGCCCUAUGGGUUGUAAACUACUUUUAUUAGGGAAGAAAAACUUUGAUUUAUCAGAGCUUGACGGUACCUAAGGAAUAAGCACCGGCUAACUCCGUG